rnacentral:rRNA from 1 species
AGGAUAAACGCUGGCGGCGUGCCUAACACAUGCAAGUCGAACGCGCUUUCGGGCUUCGGUGCGAGAGCGAGUGGCGGACGGGUGAGUAACGACAUGGGUACCUACCUUGGAGUGAGGGAUACCGGCGAGAAAUCGCCGACAAUACCGCAUAGGCUUCUUCACAAGGGAAGCAAAGUGACGCGAGUCACGCUGUGAGAUGGGCCUGUGGCCGAUUAGCUAGUUGGGGGGUAACGGCUUCCCAAGGCGACGAUCGGUAGCUGGUCUGAGAGGACGAUCAGCCACACUGGGAUUGAGAACGGCCCAGACUCCUACGGGGGGCAGCAGUGAGGAAUUUUCGCAAUGGAGGCAACUCUGACGGAGCAACGCCGCGUGCAGGAGGAAGGUUUUCGGAUCGUAAACUGCUUUUCUCGGGGACGAGCAAGGACGGUACCCGAGGAAGAAGCCCCGGCUAACUACGUGCCAGCAGCCGC